GAUCCUAUACUACUUCUAAAUAUAAGAUUUAGUGAUUAAGGUUUAUGGUUUAGUAUUUAGAAUGUUAGAGAGUAUAGUUGGGAUUAGCAUUAACUUCUUCCAUAAAAUCAUAAACAUUUCAUAAUUUCACCAAUAUAUACUAUGUUAUUUAUUUAUUUUCAUUCUAUUUGAAUUUAAGGUCUAUAUUUGGUUUUAGAGUUUAUUGAUUAGGGGUUGGGGUGAGGUUGGGAUAAGGUUUAGUAUAUAGAGGUUAGA
rnacentral:lncRNA from 1 species